UACGUAGGUGGCGAGCGUUGUCCGGAUUUACUGGGCGUAAAGGGAGCGUAGGCGGAUUUUUAAGUGAGAUGUGAAAUACUCGGGCUCAACUUGAGUGCUGCAUUUCAAACUGGAAGUCUAGAGUGCAGGAGAGAAGAAUGGAAUUCCUAGUGUAGCGGUGAAAUGCGUAGAGAUUAGGAAGAACACCAGUGGCGAAGGCGAUUCUCUGGACUGUAACUGACGCUGAGGCUCGAAAGCGUGGGGAGCAAACAGG
rnacentral:rRNA from 1 species